UGGGGAAUAUUGGACAAUGGGCGAAAGCCUGAUCCAGCAACGCCGCGUGAGGGAUGACGGCCUUCGGGUUGUAAACCUCUUUCAGUACCGACGAAGCGGAAGUGACGGUAGGUACAGAAGAAGCACCGGCCAACUACGUGCCAGCAGCCGCGGUAAUACGUAGGGUGCGAGCGUUGUCCGGAAUUAUUGGGCGUAAAGGGCUCGUAGGCGGUUUGUCGCGUCGGGAGUGAAAACUCGGGGCUUAACUCCGAGCCUGCUUCCGAUACGGGCAGACUAGAGGUAUGCAGGGGAGAACGGAAUUCCUGGUGUAGCGGUGAAAUGCGCAGAUAUCAGGAGGAACACCGGUGGCGAAGGCGGUUCUCUGGGCAUUACCUGACGCUGAGGAGCGAAAGUGUGGGGAGCGAACAGGAUUAGAUACCCUGGUAGUCCACACCGUAAACGUUGGGCGCGUAGGUGUGGGACUCAUUCCACGAGUUCCGUGCCGCAGCUAACGCAUUAAGCG
rnacentral:rRNA from 1 species